rnacentral:rRNA from 1 species
AGAGUUUGAUCCUGGCUCAGAUUGAACGCUGGCGGCAUGCUUUACACAUGCAAGUCGAGCGGCAGCGCGGGGGCAACCCUGGCGGCGAGCGGCGAACGGGUGAGUAAUACAUCGGAACGUGUCCCGUAGUGGGGGAUAGCUCGGCGAAAGCCGGAUUAAUACCGCAUAUGCUCUACGGAGGAAAGCGGGGGAUCCGCAAGGACCCUCGCGCUAUGGGAGCGGCCGAUGUCCGAUUAGCUUGUUGGUGGGGUAACGGCCUACCAAGGGCGAACGAUCGGUAACUGGUUUGAAAAGAUGAUCAGCCACACUGGGACUGAGACACGGCCCAGACUCCUACGGGAGGCAGCAGUGGGGAAUUUUGGACAAUGGGGGAAACCCUGAUCCAGCCAUGCCGCGUGAGUGAAGAAGGCCUUCGGGUUGUAAAGCUCUUUUGGUC